rnacentral:rRNA from 1 species
GUCGAGCGGMAGUAWGGGAGCUUGCUCCGGAUGUUAGCGGCGGACGGGUGAGUAACACGUGGGUAACCUGCCUGUAAGACUGGGAUAACUCCGGGAAACCGGAGCUAAUACCGGAUAGUUCCUUGAACCGCAUGGUUCAAGGAUGAAAGACGGUUUCGGCUGUCACUUACAGAUGGACCCGCGGCGCAUUAGCUAGUUGGUGAGGUAACGGCUCACCAAGGCGACGAUGCGUAGCCGACCUGAGAGGGUGAUCGGCCACACUGGGACUGAGACACGGCCCAGACUCCUACGGGAGGCAGCAGUAGGGAAUCUUCCGCAAUGGACGAAAGUCUGACGGAGCAACGCCGCGUGAGUGAUGAAGGUUUUCGGAUCGUAAAGCUCUGUUGUUAGGGAAGAACAAGUGCAAGAGUAACUGCUUGCACCUUGACGGUACCUAACCAGAAAGCCACGGCUAACUACGUGCCAGCAGCCGCG